rnacentral:rRNA from 1 species
GUGGGGAAUUUUGGACAAUGGGCGCAAGCCUGAUCCAGCAAUGCCGCGUGCAGGAAGAAGGCCUUCGGGUUGUAAACUGCUUUUGUACGGAACGAAACGGUCCGGGUUAAUACCCUGGGCUAAUGACGGUACCGUAAGAAUAAGCACCGGCUAACUACGUGCCAGCAGCCGCGGUAAUACGUAGGGUGCAAGCGUUAAUCGGAAUUACUGGGCGUAAAGCGUGCGCAGGCGGUUUUGUAAGACAGGCGUGAAAGCCCCGGGCUCAACCUGGGAAUUGCGCUUGUGACUGCAAGGCUGGAGUGCGGCAGAGGGGGAUGGAAUUCCGCGUGUAGCAGUGAAAUGCGUAGAUAUGCGGAGGAACACCGAUGGCGAAGGCAAUCCCCUGGGCCUGCACUGACGCUCAUGCACGAAAGCGUGGGGAGCAAACAGGAUUAGAAACCCGGGUAGUCC